GAUUACUGAUGGCAUUUCGGAGAGAUGCUGUUGAUGAGGUUUAACAUUGAAUAACAGUGAUGUUGUAAAUCUAGUUUGUUGAUGAUGGCGUAGAAACUAGAUGUUUAAUGGGCGAUUUAAUUAAAAGAGCCUCUGAUUUAAUACUUAUAGUUAAAAUGUAAAAAGGUAUAUAGCCGUAUACCUAGUAAUAAUAAUAAUGUAUACAUUUCUUUCCUGUGUUACAAAAGCAGUAUCUGUAAAUAGUUUGCGUGUAAUAUUCUUCCACUAGUAGUAGUACAUGAAAUUCCCUUAGACUAUUAUUUAUAACGUUGAGUCAUAGCAUGCUAAAAUUAAAAAUAUAAGGUUAUACAUGUCAAAGUCACAUGAGCUCAGAUAACCACAAGGCCUAAUCAGAAGAACACGGUAUAUUUACAGGAACUAUUUAUAUAAAGGAACUUCCUUGUUUAAUAGGUUAAUAUCAUGUUGAACAGCCAAUCAAAGUUUGCUUUCAUAAACAGGGUAAAUGGUUUGACAGUUCUCCCGGGAACAGAAAUGUGGCGUACACUAAGUUCUAAUGACGAAAGAAACUAAAAUAAAAAAAAUAUAUAUAAUGAUUUAAGUAAUUGAAACAGUUCUUGACAAUACUAUCACUUAGUUUCACUUUAUAAGUGCAAAACUAGUGAACCCAAAUGAUUGCACUUGAAAUUUUGCCCCACAGGUAUCCACAAAGCCUUGAGAGAAGAAUCCAGAUACACACUGGUCAACAUUUGUGUAGAAGGAUGUUUUCAUACUGUAACCGUGACACAAUAUUCAAAGCAUACCUUCUGGUAGCUAUGUGUCUAAACCUUACAUUCUACAACCUAAUCACAGCCUAUUCUCGACAAAUAACUAAAGGUCCUCGGUACUUCACCACAACAGUUGUUUUCCUGGCAGAGCUUUUAAAACUUGCAGUAUCUCUUAUUAUGCUACUAUAUUCAUGUGAAUGGCAUGUGUGGAAACUGAAAAUACUUCUAGAAACAGAAAUGUUGCAGAAACCAAUGGAAUUUGCUAAAUUAGUCAUACCAGCUGGACUUUAUGCUCUCCAGAACAACUUGGUUUACAUUGCCCUGUCUAACCUCGAUCCUGCUACAUAUCAGGUUACCAGUAAUUUAAAACUGGUUACAACAGUCAUUUUUCAUGCGCAUUAUUCUUCAUCGACAAUUCAAAUACUUCCAGUGGACUGCAAUACUUAUGUUGUUUGUUGGCAUUGUCUUGGUUCAGAUUCAUGCAGAGAUGUUUUCAGUUUCAAACAGUGGACAUUACCUGUGGGGCUUGACGUCCAUCCUAGUUAUUGCUGUCUGUGCCGGGUUUGCUGAAACUUUGAAAUGUAUCUCUGGGGCCUCCUGUCAUCUAGCAUUGGGAUUAUCAGCUAUGAUUUGGGCAGCAUUAAGCAAAAUGGCUUUCUACAUGGUUAUACUUCAGCUGUCUGGUUUAUUGUUGGUAUGUCUGGUGCAGGUGGACUGUAUGCCUCAUUGGUCAUCAAAUACUUGGAUAACAUCCUCAAAAACUUCUCAUCUUGCUCAGCAAUAGUUCUGACCACUAUUGGUUCUAACAUUGUUUUUAACACAGAUACUGGAGGUUUUUUUGUUAUUGGUAGUAUUCUUGUUUGUUUUUCGGUAUUCUUGUACAGCAUGGAAAUUUCCACAUGAUGAUUCCAUUUUGUGGAAGCAAUAUUUUGUUUUAUUACCAUAUACAUCUUUUAGAGUAACAUCUAUAACUCACAUGAAUGUAACUCUUAAAAACUACUUUUAAAAAUUUGGUUCAGGAGGAAAUCUGUAAUACUUCUUGCUUUAGAACAUUCACAGUAUGCUACAAAUCGGAGAACUCAUGGUUCAUGUCAUGGUGUAAGUUUUGAAUACACUGCAAGGGCAUUAUAACCAUGCUAUUCAGUUAAGUGUAUGCAGUGGGUUCUGUUGAUUGUUGCAUUUCUUCUGGUCAGUAGUUCUAAGUUAAGGAUGGCUCUGCCUGAACCAGUUAGACUGUGUGACGCAUAAGUAUGGUACUGACGUUAGAAACAACAAAUACUAUAAUGAUCAUUGAAACAAUUAUCAUAUUUUAUUAGUUAAUUUUCAUAGAUUUUUUAAUUUGUUUAUACUCUAUAUUUUUUAAGAAACAAAGGCAUAUUGACAUAGUCUAAGGUCAGUUGUACAUACAUAAAUUUAAUGGAAAUUUAAUGAUGAAUGCAUGCAACAGAUAGUAUUUUAAAGCUUUGGAUGUGGGGAGUUUAAUAUGCUUUAUUGCCAUUUAAUUUGGACAAGGCCAAGGUCAAAUGUGAAGGCUAAACGUUAAGCAUUAUAAAAAUAACAUGAAAUAUAGUUUCAAAACUUUUAUUAUGGUGUCAUUCUAGUCAAAUCAUGUAUUUGACCAAAUAUUAACAACAACAAGAUAACUUGACAUACUUAAAAAUAUAACUUGACACUUUUACAGAAAUCUAAGUGAUGCAGAACAACAUAAUCAAUGAAACAAAGCACAGUUACAUAUCUUCAGAGCUAUUAUCAUUGUUAUCUUCAACCUCUAUUGGAAGAUUCAUCAUCACAUUUUCACAAUUUUCAUAAUCUGUUCCACUCACAUUUACAUAUUUUUGUGCAAUAAAAGCUUGCUAGUUUGCCCUAGCAACAUGAUGAUGAGCAAGAACUUCUACUAUUUAAUAAGCUGAAUCAUUCUCUCUAGAGCUGCAGGUAUGUACAUUGCCAUAAGAACAAUGACACUAUCUUCUAGUUGUCAUCCAUGGUCACAAAGAUCUGGAAUGCUGGAUUUACCAACAUCAUCCUGUUCCCUCGCCAUCACCAUAUAGUUGACUCUUUUGAUCAUCUUACUUAGCACUAACCUGGUUGGAGGGAGAUGCUCUUACUCAGCUUGUUUCUAGUGAACAUCUUCCACCUCAACUCAGACACUUUGAUGUGUGGUGUUGUUGGUUCUUACAGCUCUUUCAUGAAUUUUUUAUUGUUUGUGAUGCUGCCUCCAGAACUUUAACAUAUUUACUCAGUAAAGGCUUCAAUAACUCCUUCCAAAAAGUUAGUUUUCCUUCACCUGCAAUUGACAUUGCAUCCUCAAAAUGCAUGAAACCCUGGGAGAGCCGAUACUUUCUUACUUUCUAGGGCAUCAUAGGCUUCAAUGGAAUUAUAUGCCUUAGUCUGCUAGUUCCUGAUACUAUAAAUAUAUCUUCACACAAUUUUGGAUAGCAGUGAAGUGCCAGUAUCAAUACAUCAGUAUCAGAUGCAUGUAUCUCCAGUUUGUCAGUUCCCUUUUCUGUAGAAUCCACAGCAUAAAGUUUCAGUCCUGUGUUGGCUUCUUUUGUGCUUCUUAGGUGUUUGACAUUUAGGUGAUUUGACAUAGCUUCUUCCCUGAAAGUCACAACAACAUCUUUCAUUGACUUUUCAAAAUGAAGGAUACAUUUUGCAGCCAAGUAUAAUGUGAGUCUAUCUUUUUUUAAUGUAUGAGACAAAAAUCUCUGUGCUGAAACAUGUUAAGCUUUAGUAGUGCCAUCCACAAUGUAAUCUACUGGUUCAUGAUUCCCUGUUAUUAUUUUCCUGGUCAUACUCUUGAGAGACUUGUCUACAUUGUAGUGAUCAAAUAUAAUAUGAAAUUCAUGAAAACCUUCCAUUUAACUUUCCAAUCUUGACAGGAAGUAAUCAGCAGCUCAGUAAAUUUUUUUUUUACUGUAUUUGGCUUCCCAUUUCUUGUACAAGUGACAUGGCAUCAACAAGCAUGGCUUUUCUCUCCUGUGAUUGCUGCAUGUGACUGUCUUUCUGUGUGUCAUCAGUCUGGGAGACCAAGGCUUUCAAUUCAUGACAUAAUUUACUCUUGUUUAGGCAGGGCAAAAGAUUACUAUCAACAGCAAACAUAGAACGUGAAUGCAAGGCAAAUUCAUAGGUCCCAGUAGAUUCCUUCAACUCAGUAUCCGGACAAGAUCUCAUGGCAAGUAAGAAUCUAUGAAAUAGUGCACUAUCCUCUUUCAGACUUAUGACUUAUUUUUUUAACUAGUGUCUUAGCACCUUUCCAUACCUUCAGGUUUAUUUUCUUCAUAGGAGACCAAAAACCCAUAUGAAUUGAUGUAAUUCAUUUAGAAACAAACAUCAGGUAUUGUUCUUCAUUUGUCCUGAGAAGAUCCACAGUAACAUCAUCUGGCAUCAAUGUUUUCAUGAUGAUAUUCAUCACAGGCUUGUUCCCCUAAAACGGAUUAGUGUGAUGCGAGAUCAAAUUUUUCAGUUUUAUAACUAGCCUUUUGACUUUUCAGUAUAGAUGCUGACAUUUCAUGAUGUGUAUUUUUUUCUCUUGCACAGGAGUUCCAUCAAGUUCAUGCACUUCUUCUGAAAGAUAAGCCUAUUCUGAAGCAGUAAGGAAAAACCUUCUACAGGUUUUAGGAUUCAAUGUAAUGUCAGAGAGGCUAAGUGUUUAAUUCCAUGAUCUGCUACUAUAGCACAGAAUUCAGUGUUUAAUUUGCUAACAACAAAUUUCCCCUCUUUAAAUUCCUGGAUAAUGAGAGAAUCGGUCCUCUCCAGGCUCCUCGUUUCUGCAACAUAAAAAGGAAUCAUCUGUGAAUAGUGGAGCUUGUCAUGGGCAAAAAAAUAUUUGUACAUAUCUUCCAAACUUGUGAGGUGAAGUUCCCAUGAAGUAUCCCUUGUGGCUUUAAUAAACAGUAGCAGAUACAAGACCAUCAUAUAUGAGAUAUGUCCUGUGCAGUGGGUGUUUUUCAUCUCCAUGUAACUUUUCCAACAAUUUUCUGACUUUAUUUUCAGACACAAAUAAUCACAUUAUUUUCUCAAACUCACUAAAUCAUCACUUUUCAUUGCAUCAAUGACUGUUUUCACAAAUUCUUCGAAUGUGUCUGGUGAACUUGUUGUAAGAUUAUCAACUAUGAUGUCAAAUAGUGCAUGAAAAGUGAUCAUAUGGGUGACCACCCUCUUUUUCAUGUGUCUGCCUUUCAGUAUUUGCCUUGUUGUUGUAUGCCCAUAGAUGUCCACUUCAAUCCAGACAUUAUCAAUACCACUUGAGUCAUUGAAGCAUCCAAUGCACCUAAGCAUUGCCAUAACUGUGUGCAGUUCUCCAGUUCUAAGGAUCCAAUUGUUUUUGCAGUCAUCUCUCAUCAUUUCAAACUGCUUUGCCUUUUCAUACAGCUGCAUAUUUAAGGUAAUAACAGUCUUCCUUCCAGGGUCAAGGGCAACAGUAUUAAUAUGCUUUGUUUGUUUAAGUGCAGUAAGAAGGGUGCUCCAGUCACAUGCAGAGGCAGCAAUGAGAGGAGUGCUCCUACAAGUAAGACAGGUUUUGCAAUAGAUAUCAUAGCAUUAUAAGGGUGUGUUCUUCAGCCAUGCAGCACUCUCUGUACCUAGCUAUUAACCAGGUAUUUGGAGAACUGUGAAAAAUUUAUUGGUAUCAAUCCCCUGUGUUUUGUAAACAAUUUACUUUAAAGAGUGUUAAUUUUGUGUCUGGUUGUUUCGAACUCUGCCUAAAGAUUUAUCUUACACUGUGAUGUCUGGUUGAAUAGGACUAUGAAUGGGCUUUAUAUUUUGUCAUUUUUUCUGAAAAACAGCUAGAGAUGUAGCAUUCACUGUGCCCUUGCCAUCAGGAGUAUCCUCAUCAGAAUUGUCAAUUGUCAUCUUUGACAAGAAAUGGUAGCAGGUAUCCUUCAUGUACUAACAUAUUUUCAAGAACUGAACAGGCCAACUAUGUUUCUAGUCUCAAUAUUCUCUGUAGUUUACAGACAGAAAAUCUAAGAAGCAAAUCUAUUAUCUUUUUGCUUCUAGUCAUUUGAUGAAUUGCAACUCCAACAGCAAGCUGAUUGGAUAAUUCAGGUUUAUGAAAAAAUCUAGACGCAAUAUACUUUAAUUGGUAUUUUACUUGAUGGUCCAUUUUUGAGGCAAAACUUAAUGUUUAAACAAUAUUCAUUGUGUACUGGUUCACAGCUCCCAUCUAGAAUUUUUACUUAAGGUCCUUGAAAAAUCCACCUGAGAAGCAUGUACAACCUCAUUGGAAUGUAUUCUGAAACAUCACUAUUUUGGAAUGACAUCUCAAAUGUUUCUAUGGCUUGCACUUUGAUAGAUCUGUUCUUAUGAGGCUUGCACUUUGAUAGAUCUGUUCUUAUGAGGCUUGCACAUUGAAAUAAAUACUUAAUGUCUUCUUUGAUGGAGUUUCUUGCUGCUUCCUGCACAACAUCCUCUCUAGUGCCUUUUGAAAAGACCAGCUUUGGCUGAUUUUGCUGCUUUAGUGGAGAAAAUUCUUAGUUUGGAAUAUUUUCCAUUAACUUCUGUUUUAGUUCCUUCGUUUCAAAUGAAGGAUUUAUUACUCCAUUAUUUUUUUAAAUUCUCAAGUAUGUAUCUUGUAAUGCAGCUAUUGACAAUAUAGAACUACCUUGAAGCAAGUUUUCCACUAGUGUGAGCAGUUAUAUAUUUGAGCCAAUUUGCUGUGUGUAUGCAUCUAAAUGGACAUUUUCAGUGAUGUUUAGUGUGUUUCUUGUGCUUAUAUAUGGUGAUGGGAACUCCUUCAGUCCAAGCACAUGAACUACAUGUAUGUCCUAACAACAUUUGUGAUAUUUACCAUCUAUUGCAUCUGAGAUUAAGUGCACCUGCAAGUAUUAUUCUAAGAAUUUCAUUAUCAGAUAUUGUUCCUUAAACUUGAGACCUGCAUUAUAAGUUUUAAAAGUUAAGAUAUCAUGGAGACUGCUUAGGUCAUCAUUUUGACAAAAGAAUCACAAAUUCUUCUUAAAUGAAGUAUAUUUUGAUCAAAGUGUUUCUUCUGUUGAUUACACCAGAAAAGGGCUGGCUGAAUGAUAGCAUUUCCUCUUUUGUUGGCUGCAACAAGCUUAUGUUCUGGUUCUGAAGAGUAUCACUGUAUCUUUUCCUUGUUCUGUUCAAAUGUCCUAAGUGAAAUGUCUUCUGGUAGCAUGGUCUGUGGUAUUUUGCAUUCUUCUCUACAAGUUAUGAUUCUGUAAAGUACAAUUGCAUGUGUUAAUUUAUUGCCACAUAAUCCUUUUUACAUGAACUAACUCUGUCUGGGACUUUCAGGGUUUUAUGUGUAUGUGGGCUAAGGAUUCUUCUACAAUGGGUAUCUGUGACUUGUUUUCAAAUAAUAUAUUCAAAACAAGUCAAACUAUGUACAAAAUUCUUUACACUAUAGGAUAUCACAGUUUUAUCUAAAACUAAAUAAUUUUCUUUUCUUUUCAAAAGUCUACUUAUGCAGAUUCAAUUACUUUAGACUCCAAUUGACAAGACAAACUAUUUUUCUCAGCUCUCAUCACAGUAGUAUCUGAAUAAUUCACUUACACUACCAUGUGGGUUACCACAGUUUUAUCCUGAACUUCAAAUAAUUGUCUCCUUUUUGUCAGAGUCCACACACAUGGGUUCAAUUACUUUAGAACACCCUUUGACAAGACAAGAUAUUAUCCUUAUCUCUAUUAUACUGUGAAAAUCACUUUAAAAUAUUGCCCAUUAUGGCUAAUCACUCACACACAGAUUAACUUCACGAUAACUUUUUUUUCUGAGUGAACUGAACUUUUUUUCGUUACUUUACUUCACAUGACUUGCACUCGCUUAACUGCCUAUAUUUAUAUGUUGUUCACUGAAGCCUCGAACUUUCUGUAAAUUAUGUGAACAGUGUUGAUUUAACAAUACUCAAUUAAGAUAAUGGAAAAAA
rnacentral:misc_RNA from 1 species